UCUCUUCUCCUUUAUAAAACCACUCAUUUAUCCUUUUCAGCCAUUCACUCACUAUCCAUUGCAGAAUAAAAAGAAAACCUCAGAACUUUAACGUUCGUCUAGAGAGAGAGAGAGAGAAAAGAAAAGGGAAAAAUGGAAGGGAAGGAAGAGGAUGUGAGAGUGGGAGCGAACAAGUUCCCAGAGAGGCAGCCUAUCGGGACAUCGGCUCAGACUGACAAGGACUACAAGGAGCCACCACCAGCGCCGCUGUUCGAGCCAGGGGAGCUGAGCUCGUGGUCUUUCUGGAGAGCAGGGAUCGCAGAGUUCAUAGCUACCUUCCUGUUCCUUUACAUCACAGUAUUGACGGUGAUGGGAGUGAAGAGAGCACCAAACAUGUGUGCAUCUGUCGGAAUCCAAGGCAUAGCUUGGGCUUUUGGUGGUAUGAUCUUUGCCCUCGUCUACUGUACUGCCGGAAUCUCUGGUGGACACAUAAACCCAGCGGUGACAUUCGGGCUGUUCUUGGCUCGGAAACUUUCACUGACCAGAGCUGUCUUCUACAUGGUCAUGCAAUGCCUCGGUGCCAUCUGCGGCGCCGGUGUUGUCAAAGGCUUCCAGCCUUCCCCCUACCAAACCCUCGGCGGCGGAGCCAACACCGUCGCUCCCGGCUACACCAAAGGAUCUGGACUCGGAGCUGAGAUCAUCGGAACCUUCGUCCUUGUCUACACCGUCUUCUCAGCCACCGACGCCAAGAGAAGCGCCCGUGACUCACACGUUCCGAUUUUGGCUCCACUCCCAAUCGGAUUCGCUGUGUUUUUGGUUCACUUGGCGACGAUCCCGAUCACCGGGACCGGUAUUAACCCAGCUCGGAGUCUAGGAGCUGCAAUCAUCUACAACAAGGACCACUCCUGGGAUGACCACUGGAUAUUCUGGGUGGGACCAUUCAUCGGAGCAGCUCUUGCGGCUCUCUACCACCAGCUUGUCAUCAGAGCUAUUCCUUUCAAGACCAGAACCUGAUUUCCUUUGUUUCUUUUAUGAUUACUCUCUGUUGCUUUUAUCUUCUUUUUGGUCUGUUUCCCGAGCCUGAAAAUAUUAUUUUAAUUAGCUGUGGAUUGUAUUAUCUGCUUUAAAUUAAUUGUUACUGCAAGUCUUCUCAUAAAUUUGGUCUGUCUGCUUUGAUUUUGGUUCCCAAUCUAACAAGACCAAAAGAGUAAAUGCAUACUGUAUAUGGUUUAGCCCA